rnacentral:rRNA from 1 species
GGGUCAGUAGGUUGGUCGUGCCACCGGUACGUACUGGUCUCACUGAUUCCUCCUUCCUGAAGAACCGUAAUGCCAUUAAUUUGGUGUUGCGAGGAAACAGGACUGUUACUUUGAAAAAAUUAGAGUGUUUAAAGCAAGCUAACGCUUGAAUACAUUAGCAUGGAAUAAUGAAAUAGGACGAUCGAUCCUGUUUUGUUGGUUUCUAGGAUUGACGUA